CUAGAACCCGAGACGUGGUGUUUUUUAAUUGCUUCACCAUUUUCUCUUUCAAAAUUUGGUAUUAAUUUGUACCAAAUUCCACAACUCAGUCUUCUACUAAAAAAGAAUUCAAAAUCGUGCCCCAUAGAAGUUUUCAAAAUUAUCCCUAAUUUCUUCAACUCCCACAUCGCUUGAAAUCAGAAUUCGGCCUCAAAUUUGUUUCUAUAUAUACCUCUACUGUUAUCAUCGAAAAGGAGGAGGGAAUAUUGAGCUGAGAGACAAAUAUACUAAAUAACUCCAAAGGUAAAAAUCUAAUUUCAUUUUGAUGGUGGCAAAAAUUUUCUAACGAAGCUCACAAGUCUGAUUCGCUGCUCCGAAAUAGAUAAGUAAUCUAAAAGGCGGGAAGUCAAGUUGGAUUAGUAUCGGAUUUGGACGACCAGGUAUAUAAGGCUACUCUAUGUCGUAUUCCUUGGCAUGAAAUCCGGUACUUUUAGUACAACAUAAGUUUCUAUAGAUUUCCCAUAGUAAAUAGUACCUAAUAGCAGCACAUGAUCUCCUAUCUAGCUAACGACUUUAUUCCCGCUCCUUAGUGUGUUAAAAUACCUCACCACAUGCUUAUUAUUGAGUUUACAUUUUUACAUUCACUAGCAAGUCUCAAGAGUUCUCAUUUAAGUCAAAUAAGACUCGUAUUUUAUUUUUAGCUCCUAAACAUCUCAUUCGUAUACAAUU